GGUGUCAAGAUUCCAUUAUGGUUAUAAGUUAAUUGUUUCUGAUAUUUGAAUCUUGCAGGCUGCACCAGCUAGCUCCUCUAGGCUGGCUCUUGAAGCAUCAGCAACAACACCAUCAAGGAUGGUGGAGCAAGUGGAGGAGCAGGUGGUUGAUGUGACGUCAGCAGUGGUGCCAGGGCUAGGGGCUAGAGGCGGCUAGCAUGUAGCACCCCAACUUUCGGGAAUUCUGUGAAUGUUAGCAUAGGUUUAAUUAUGUUAGUGGGCCUCUAGAAGGCCCAAGCUUAAGAUAGAGCCCGACAAUUUUAGUUAAUUUUUUUUCCAUAAGAAAAAGGGGAUGAAAUUAUGAAAUAGGACCUAUGUGAAAAUGUUUGAAAAUGCCUUAGGCUAAAUUGAAGUGGCCAAAUAAAUAGGAGUGCAAAAUAGGAGGAUUUGCAUGACAAACCUCCUAUUUUACAUGAAGUGGCCAACCAUCAUGUUGUUGUAGACAAAAUGUGCACUUGAUAUCCAUAUGGUACAAAUUGAUACAAAUUGAUAAUGGGUUAGGUAAAUGUUCCAUGAUAAUGGGUUAGGUAAAUGUUUCAUGAUAAUGGGUUAGGUAAAUGUUCCAUGAUUGGAAUUUCAUGUCUUUUGUAUUAAAGAAUUAAAUGGAUGAAAUAUGAAAUUUUAUUAAAAGAAAAAGGGGUGAAAAGAACAAAGUUUUGUCCAUCUUUGUUCAUCAUAGCCUAAAGUUAGAGAAGAGAAAGGAGAGGAGAAAGCUCUUGAAUGUUCGGUCACUUGGGGAAGAAAAUUGAAGGCAGUUCGUGUGUGGAUCU